rnacentral:lncRNA from 1 species
AGUUCUGCUUACCACAGGGAGGUUCCUCCUCCACUGUCCUUUAGUGCCACUGCUGAGCUGUGAUGCCAUGCAGAGUCAUCUGUUGAUUCUGGUUUUAUUUGCUCAAAGUUAUUCAUUAGGCCGGGACAUUCUGUUAAUGGCAUUUAAUAAAUAAAGUCUCUUCCUCCUAGCAGAUAUUGUUAGUCUCUUUCCCCAUUUGUUUCAUUGCCACAAAGCUCAGACCAGAGGCGUUCUACUGUUAAGCAAGUGAAUGGAUACAAGGCCAGCAGCUUCCACUCUUUCCUCCUGUCUCCUUGAGGCACAAUUUUUACGUGUUCAA